UCCCCUCAGGAUGCGAACCUGUUCCACAUUGCACACUACCGGCGUGAUCUCCAGCCGCUUCAGCUUGGUGUAGACCGUGUGCAAGCCCCCCACCAAGUGCUUCAGGAACAGGUCGAAAGCCUGGGGAACACACAUCAAGGAAAGGCCAUGUGAAGACACAGCAAGAAGGUGGUUGUCUGCAAGCCAGGAAAGGAGCUCUCACCAAAAACUCAAUCAGCCAGCACCUUGAUCUUGGACUUGCCAGCCUCCAGAACUAUGAGAAACAAAUAUCUGUUGUUUAAGCCACGAAACCUAUGAUUUUAUUACGGUAUCCUGAGCAGACUAAGACACCAAGGAUGUGAGAAUGAGUCAUACUGUGGUGGGUCUGCAGGCAUUCCCCCGCCCCCCUUCUUCAGUAGCCCAGGUACUUUGCGGAGUGCUGACUGCUCCCCAGCAACAAGUCCUCAGUCGCCUGAAGCCAGUGGCAGUGGGGGAAUGUGGUCCUGAUUGGUUCUGGCAGACACUCUGCAGUCCUGUUGAAGAGGAUCCUUGAGAUGAAGCAGAUAUCCCAGAAAGUGGAGCAGAAAGAAGGAAACAGUCCACACUAAAUCUGGCAACCACGGAGCCUCCUCUAUCUCUGGACUUCCGAUGACUGGGGCUAAUAAACCUACUUUGUUGUUUGUGCUGUUCCACUUUGCUCUCUUGGCCCUCAUGACAUAAAAAGAGUCCUAACUCACUGCAACAUGAAAGAAGAAAGCAGAAUGGAGUGAAAUCAAACCAGCAAAGGGUGGAAAUCAUGAGAAAAAUCUAACCAUAAAUAAAAAUAAGAAUUAGAGCGAGAGUA